UCGAGGCGUAGUUGGCGUGGUGGUCCAGCUCGACGUUGAGGACGACGGCGACUUCGGGGGCGUACUUGUGGAAGCUGCGGUCGCUCUCGUCGGCCUCGGC
rnacentral:tRNA from 2 species